AACGAACGCUGGCGGCAGGCCUAACACAUGCAAGUCGAACGCCCUAGCAAUAGGGAGUGGCAGACGGGUGAGUAACGCGUGGGAACGUACCCUUCGGUUCGGAAUAACCCAGGGAAACUUGGACUAAUACCGGAUACAUGCGAGAGCAGAAAGAUUUAUCGCCGAAGGAUCGGCCCGCGUCCGAUUAGCUAGUUGGUGAGGUAAUGGCUCACCAAGGCGACGAUCGGUAGCUGGCUGAGAGGAUGAUCAGCCACACUGGGACUGAGACACGGCCCAGACUCCUACGGGAGGCAGCAGUGGGGAAUAUUGGACAAUGGGCGCAAGCCUGAUCCAGCCAUGCCGCGUGAGUGAUGAAGGCCCUAGGGUUGUAAAGCCCUUUCGGUGGGGAAGAAAAGUCUCGACCUAAUACGUCGGGACCUUGACGUAACCCCACUAAAGAAGCACCGGCUAACUCUGUGCCAGCAGCCGCCGCGGU
rnacentral:rRNA from 1 species